rnacentral:rRNA from 1 species
AUCCUGGCUUAGAACGAACGCUGGCGGCAGGCCUAACACAUGCAAGUCGAGCGAGAAAGGGGCUUCGGCCCUGAGUAGAGCGGCGCACGGGUGAGUAACACGUGAAUAAUCUGCCUUCAGGAUGGGAUAACAGACCGAAAGGACUGCUAAUACCGGAUAAGCCCACGGACCAACCGGGUCUGUGAGAAAAGUACGGGACCGCAAGGCCGUGCACCUGGAGAUGAGUUCGCGUCCCAUUAGAUAGUUGGCGGGGUAAUGGCCCACCAAGUCGACGAUGGGUAGCUGGUCUAAGAGGAUGAUCAGCCACACUGGAACUGAGAUACGGUCCAGACUCCUACGGGAGGCAGCAGGUGGGGAAUCUUGCGCAAUGGAGGAAACUCUGACGCAGCCAUGCCGCGUGAAGUGAUGAAGGCCCUCGGGUACGUAAAGCUCUGUCUGGGGGGAAUAACGGCCGUGCGUACAAGAUGCGCGCGGAGUGAAGGUACCCUCAAAGAAAACACCGGCUAACUCCGUGCCAGCCGCGGC